rnacentral:tRNA from 1 species
UGGGAUAUCGCCAAGUGGUAAGGCAAUGGACUUUGACUCCAUCAUACGAAGGUUCAAAUCCUUCUAUCCCAGCAA